rnacentral:rRNA from 1 species
CAGCCGCCGCGGUAAUACGGAGGGGGCUAGCGUUGUUCGGAAUUACUGGGCGUAAAGCGCACGUAGGCGGCUUGGUAAGUUAGAGGUGAAAGCCUGGAGCUCAACUCCAGAAUUGCCUUUAAGACUGCCGAGCUAGCAGGUGAGAGAGGUAAGUGGAAUUCCGAGUGUAGAGGUGAAAUUCGUAGAUAUUCGGAAGAACACCAGUGGCGAAGGCGGCUUACUGGCUCAUACUGGACGCUGAGGUGCGAAAGCGUGGGGAGCAAACAGGAUUAGAGACCCCGGUAGUCCCUGUCUCUUAUAC